GCCCAUCUGGCGAAAUGGUAGACGCGCCAGUUUCAGGUACUGGUAUCCGUAAGGAUGUCCGAGUUCGACUCUCGGGGUGGGCACCA
rnacentral:tRNA from 1 species